AAGAGGCUCUUGCUUGGUGUAACUCUAAUAUAAAUAAGCUAAGGUGCUUUCCGCCAGCGGAAAUGAAGGAUGCGUCUUAAGAGGAGAGUUAUUACUUACGUCUAAUUAUGACAUGCAUGAGUGGGUAUGUGUACCAAAAUCCGGACAAUUUGGUGUAUUUAGCGGUAACUCUUUAUUGGUGCUUUUGUUUUUUGUUCUUUAUAUUAAUUGCCAUGUUUUUAGUGUUAUUUAUACCUUAAGUUAUUUAUGUGCAAAUACUUUUCAUAUUAUAUUUUGCAGGGAUAUAUGAAAUAAAAUAUGUUUGUAAAU
rnacentral:misc_RNA from 1 species